UCGGGUCAUCUGCACAUGGUGAGUGCUGAAUAACGAGCAGCACGGCACGCGGUGCAAACUGCUCAGGCCUUACCCUCAUGACGGCGUAAGAAUCUGGCCACUGCUUUCACUAAAUGUAGUCUUAAGGCUGUAGGAGAGCAUUUCCCGUAAUUCCUUGUGCAGCAAAAAACAUAGACCUUAACGCUCGGCAGACUGGUGCACCAGUAAUGCAGCUGAACACGCCCUGAUAACCUGGUGCAAACUGUGCCCCAAAACGUAAAGGUUAGCUCUUUUUUAGAUGACAAUAUUAUUAUUUCCAAGAAGUUGUCAGAGUCACUGUUGUGACUUGGUAUGAUUACAAAUAUAUUUGUAUACACAAUUACUUGAGUAAUAUGAUGGCUGAUUUGUCCCUCUCUGCUCUCACUGAUACGUAUUUUGUAAGUUGAACUACAUAUACUGAAAACUGUUUAAAUAACUGUUAACUUUAUUUUUUCUUUUUUUCCAUAAUACAAUCCUUAAAGCCAGUUCAAGAAGUUUGUUACUGCAGACAAAAGUGGCCAUUCCUUUUGUCUAGAUUUGGCAUGGGAGUGGGAAAUGGGAUUCAGGGACCCAGGCCUGUGUUUCUGCGUGACCAUGGGUGAAUCACUUCGUGCUGUGGCUCUUUGCUCUCCAACUAAGCUCUUCCUUGCCUUGCUCCAUUUAAAACUUACGGGGGGUGGUUGUCUUCUGUUGUCUUCUUACAGGUACUAGCAUGGUGUGAUCCAAGACCAAGGGCUCAGGGCAUCGCCACAAUGAGCAUGCUGCAGGUGAUGGAGACCCCACCGCCUCCCAGGCGAUCCCUUCUUGUGCCUAAUGGUCCUUGCAGCGAGGAAGUUUUCCUAAUGCCUGACUUAACUCUCCCUUGCCGUGUUUAAGCCUAUUACUUUUUGCGUUAUCCCUGUGGAUGCGGAUAACAAUUUAUUGCCUUCCUUGUCGCAGAAGGCUUUUACAUAAUUGAAGAGCGUUAUCAUGUCUCCUCUCCGUCUUCCCCGCUCUAGACUAAAUAGCCUAGAUAGGAGGAUGAAAGCUGGAAUGGGGUGUUGGAGAGAAGGAGUCAGAGCAGGAAAUCGCAUCAGGAUUAAUCCUGCACCCUGCCCCUUUGGAAAGGGACUUUCCAUUCUGGAAGACGGACGGUGUGGGAAGGGAGUCACGCUCUGCUGAGAUUCACGCAUGCAGCGCCCAGACCGCGCAUCCGAUUGACGGAUAGCUGUUUCGUACCCUGAAGGAGAGGGUGGAGCUGUCUGCUGGGCUGUGACACUCCUGUCCUGGUGUGUGCGCUUGGAAAUAAGGCUCUAACUUCUCAUGGUGGCGAGGAGCAAAGGCAGCUCGCAGACCGGUUCUCUGGGCUUGUACCAGACUGACCUGUUUUGCACCUUGGAAGCACCAGUGCUGCUGCUCCUAAAUGCCAUAUGUAUGUACGUUAUACAGCCAAAGAAAAUGACAGUAAUGUUACUGUUCUGCAGAAGCACCUCAGCAGCCCUGCCCAUGAGCCUGAGCCCUCUUCAUAUGCAAAAAAGGUUUUCUUCUAGUAGGUGCAUCAUCAUGCAGAGCUGUGCUGUGCCUCCGGCUGCGAGAAUGGGCAGGAAAGCCACCCACCCACCCACCGCACACCAACAUGUCUCAGGGGCCAGCUGCUGUGCAGAAAACCACCGCGUGGCACAGGAAAACGCUGUCUGAACCAAAACGCCCUGGGGCAUAUUUUGUCCACGUCACAUAUGUCAGAGGAGUACAGCGUGCACUCGGAGCGACCUGCUGUGCCUGCAGCCCUGCUCCAUCACUGCCACUGCCAGAGCUGCAGCACGUACACAGCCUGGGCGGCGGCUGCCGUACCUGGAGGAAACCAAAAUAGCUUCCAGCUUGAAGAUCUCCAAAAGCAUGACAGGGGUUAGCAUGUAAAAAAAAAUGGUUCUUCACCACUUGACAGUCCCAGUGAUGCCCUUUGCCUUGCUGCAAGCUCUCUGAGAACAGCAUUUAAAUGGAGCUCAGUUCCCCUUAGACUCCUGGCUACAUGGGAUCUCAGGAUUAUUUAUAUCAGAAAACCACUGUCCGUGAAGCAAACCCAAAAAUUCAAGGCUGUUUGGGAUGACUGGGAAGUCUUUUACCUGCUUUGCACCAUCAGAUGUUUGAGACUUGCUCCAGACUCUCCACAAACCCCUCUCCAGCUGCCCUGCUUGCUCAUCACUGAGAGGGAGAAGGGGUGUGAGGAGCAUCCUGGUGACACAAGGGACAGAAACCUCCGGGGUUCAGCACACGACGGUGGGAGAAGGCGGCUGCAGCAGGCUCACUCUGAGGCAAACACACCUUCCCAGGCAUGAAGAGGGAACAAACGGAACAUCUUGGAUGUCGGGAGACAGCCACUGUGUCCUGAGACGGUUUCGGAACCAUGGCAAAUAAUGUUGUUUCCCAUAAACAUGGACCACAGUGUGACAUCAACAAAAAAAUCCUCCAGGUCUGCCUGUCGAGAACAGAAAAAAGAGAGAGAAAAGGCUAAACAGGAGAGCUGGAAAAAUCAGCUUUAAGAUGCAAUUUCAUUCACAGCCCGCUAACCCAUCUGUGCCGUCCGUGGUUAUGAUCUGUUCCUCCUUGACUCCGGUGGCAGCUCUCUCUGCUGCCUACUGCCAAGAAGUAGGUCAGAAACCUAUUUUUGUCUCUAUUCUUCCGCGGCCGGAUUACAGUCCCUACGCCCUCGCGGGGACGGGGAAGCUGUGACACUUGUAGGGUUCAGCCUCGGUGGUGGCGAGCGGGGCACAUGGCAGGACCAGCGCCCGGGGGCCGAAACACGGUGAUAUGGGUCACUAGGGCACAUAGCUGCUACCUGCUCCCGCCUCUGUGCCCCACGGGCUAACGAUUUCAUCAGCUCUGCUUGCUAACGUCCUUCUUUCCUCCCCAGGUACCAACUACCCUUUUUUCUCAAAUUGUCCAACUGAUUAACAUAGUUAAGUUAAACUCAGCAACUGUUUUCAACUUGUGCUUACUUUGAAGUUAGCUAGAAGACACGCCAGCAAGCUGCCCCACUUUUCCAGCUGGAAAUUAGAAAAUAAUAAUAAUAAUAAAUUAAACCGAAGAUCCUAUCGCUCCUUACGGACUUGCCUCAUUUGCCUCGACUCUCUUUGCCUCGAAUGCCAAAUGCUCUUCUCACCGCUUCACCCUGCUCCCAUCCAGGCGGAGCAGAGGCAGGGAUGUGGGUUUUGCCAAGCCGGAGCCCCACAAAUUUUGGCAGAUGACUGGUCCAUCUGUCCAGGAGACUCUGCGUUUUGCCAGUGGUCUACCAAACACUGCCCUCAAACACCCGUGAGCAGUUUUGUGAUGGCAACCUCACCAAACGCGCCCGUUUGGGGGAAAAGGCACUGUCUGAAACUUGGCUUUGCUGCUUGUUGCAACUGAGCUGAUGCGUGCAGGAAUUGCCAAGCAACGACGUUAAUUGUAAAAUGGACCUCUACUUAAAUUUUGCUGAAAUAUGGCAAACGAUGUGCUAUUUUGGCCAAGGGAAUUGCAGGCACUGUGAGGUGAAAACAAACCACAAAGCGGCUGCCUCAUCCUUUUGUUCCUAUGGACUCGGGUCCAGCUUUUCAGCUCCAUUUUUACCUUUUCGCAGUGCAUCCGCUGAGAUUUCUCCUCCGGAAAAAGAGAUCAGAGCAAGUGGGGACUGAGCAGAAUCAAAGCUGAUGCAAACCUUUGAGCUAAUCUUUAUGUAAAGCUAAAUGAAACCUUAGAGGUUUGUAAAUGGUCAUGAAACAUUUCCACCUCCUGCUCCUGCCCCCUUUAUCUUUAGUUUUCUUUAUACAUCUACACCUUCUAUUUCUAAUUGAAAGUCUAAUAUAAAGCCUAAUUAAACUAAUAGAAAAGUCUUUCUCUGAUUUUAGUGGCCCUUGAUUUAGCCCUGCCAAAGAAAGGAAAUAAUUUUGCUUUUGAAAAUGUCUUUAAAUUUAAGGGAGAACAAAAUCUGAAGAGAGAAAUGGAAAAUCGGAGGUCAAAUGCAAUUUUCUAGCUGGUAUGACUGCAUAUUUUACUUGAGAAUACUUGCAUGGCUUGUUUAGAGAGUCAUUUCUCAGCAUUUGUGUAACAGGUACAGUUUUGAUUUUCACAAUAAUUGGGUAUAUGCACACUGGCACCUGCGCUAGAGACUGUUGCCAUAUCAUAGCGGAAAAAAACAGAGAUGGGGGAAAUGUUGCUAGGAAGAUGUUGGCCACAAGCAGCUACUGCUGUUUCAUAUUGCUGCUGUAAAUAAGUGUUAUUGUAUUAUUAAUAUUUAAAUGCAAAUUUGACAGUGUAGUUUUUUUGGUAAUUCUAUCUUUUCCUUCUUUUUUUUCCCACCACUUAUCUUGGAUCCACUUUUUCAUUGGUUGCAGUGGCUCAGCUGGUGUGUUUUUUGUAAAUCUGUUUGAUCUAUCUAUUUCUAGAGCUCAUGCAGUGCAACGUUACUGGAAAUGGAGCAAAAUGUGCCAGAAACAAAUCCAGUGCACUCUCUGUAACUCCUAUUCUCUCAAGACCUAUUUGUCCCUUUCCUCCUUUUAAAUAGUUCCUCCCAUCUUUUCCUUUCCGUUCUGGUCAUGUUAUUUGUUUCAUCAGCCAUUUGUUAUCCACAUUUUGGCUAAACAUCAGGGAACUGUCCUUGACGGUGAACCGGGAAGAGCUUUCUUAAGGGAAUAAUGAUGGCUCCGUUAUUUGGGAGAGCUGAAAAAUGAGAUGAGCCCAAAUAUUAAGGUCUCGCUGAGGUUGUGAGGACUGGUAAUGUGCUUUAUUAGACUCAGCUGUGUAACUGGUGAAACUUGUCUGCUUUGGCGUUUGCUUUGUUUUUGCGGGGUGUGCUUAAGAAGUUACAUGCUGGGGUUGGAGGAGGUAGCGGGAAGUGCUGGAGGGACGCGCAGAGCUCCUGAGCUCCACUCUGUGCAGUCCCGCGGUCCUCUUGCCCCGGUGUGGAGACGCUCUCUCUUUGGCUACAGGCAACCUGGCAGGUCGGGAUCCACCUUAGCCCUAAAACGAGCAAGCUGCCUGUUUCAGUCCCUCCUGAGCCUGCAGGCUCCCCGGCCACACACGAGAUGAGUUUUGACCCAGUCCGGGCCUUGGUAAACUCUGCACAUUAGCUGCCUGUGGUUUCACUAGAGCUUCGACUUUGCUUUGGGUUUAUUUCAACCUUCAGCUGCUUUGGGGCUGGUUGGGCUCCUCACAGGCUCCUCUCCACCCAAAAAGUUUAUUGCUGAGCUGCUGCAAGCGUGUCAUGGCUUCAGAGCAAACCGUGGAGCGGCAGCUACAGCCGCGGCUCGCAGCCUGCCCGAGAGCCUCCUCUGGCAGCUUUCCGACCAGCCUGCUGCUACAAGUCCGCCCAACCAGCAAUUCUGGCAAACUCAGAAAUUUGCAUGAAGUUCAUAUUAGUUCAGCAUUAGCUCACGUUGCCAGCAGUUCAGGAGCUCCUUCAAAUGGCCUG